AGAACCACCACAUACACAGUGCUUGACACAGCUGCCCUCAUGUCAUCUUACGUUAGUGUUUCGGGCUUAUCGGAGGUGGGCGAAGAUGACGCCCUUCAGCGUCUCCUGUCGUCUCGUGGCGUCUCUGGAAACUGCCCGAACGCCCUCUUAGAUGCGAUGCGCAAGAUGCAAGCAGAAAACGUGUUUGACGUGGAGAGCGUCACUGUCGCCCCGGCGGCACAGCCACCUCCACUCGCGAAAGCGGCGAGCAAGAAGGAAGGCUCUGCGUCCCACGCGUCUGCCGAAAAGCCGAAAGCCAACGCUGUGUCUUUGCGAGAGCCGAAGAAGAUCUCUUCAGGAAAGUCUCCCUCACCGACUGUGCAGUUAGCGGCCUCUGCUGUUCAGGCCUCCAGCUUUCGCGCAACCAAUCCAACAGACAUCGAUUCUCUCCCCGCACUUGUGGAGCUGGUGCAUCCAAAGCUGUUCCGACCGUUGACGGAGUCCAUGAAGAUCGAGCACCUCACCCGUAUCCAAAAACUGUGCUGGGCGGCAAUGCUUGACAGCGAUAGCGACGUCCUGGUGCGCAGCGAGACUGGCAGCGGCAAAACGCUCGCCUACGCCCUCCCCACGCUUCACCGCCUUCUCGUGGAGUGCGACAAGACACCCAUCUCGCGCGACGUGGGCACCCUCAUCAUUAUCAUGUGCCCGACCCGCGAGCUUGUGUUGCAGGUGACAGAGACAGUAACCACUCUGGUGCGCUGCGCGCAGUUCAUCACAGUCGGCGGCAUCCACGGCGGCGAGAACCGGCACAAGGAGAAGGCGCGGCUGCGCAAAGGCCUCCCGAUUCUGGUGACGACACCGGGCCGUUUGCUCGAUCACCUCAAGACCACUUCUUCCUUCACCGUUACCCACGCGCAAACGGUGAUCAUGGACGAAGCGGACCGGCUGCUCGACAUGGGGUUUGAAAAGGCUCUGCGUGAGAUUAUGGAGCUGCUAGAGAGAAAAUGCCACCAUGCGUCCGAUAUGAAGCGCGUUCUAGUCUCUGCGACUAUCACAGAGGGCGUUGAGCGACUGUCGCACUUUGCGCUGCGCAGGAACAUUGUCCGCAUCGGCGAGACACAAGACACAUUCUCUGUCCCGACAACGUUGAAGCAGCACUACGUGAUGGUGCCGGUGAAGCACCGUCUCUCCGUUCUUCUCAGCUUUCUUCGCUCCCAGCUGGACGCUGGUGCUAACAAGAUCAUCGUGUUUGUUUCAACGGCGGACAGUACGGAGUUCCUGUACCUGCUCGCUUCUCGCCUACAGUCCCCAUUUCACAGAAGGUCGUACGAGGGCAAGGUGGUCACGCGCUCGCGCGGUGCUUCCAUGAGUACGAAGAAAAUGGUCGAAGCCGCCAACCGCCACCUCGACAACGGCAGCGCCACGGACGAGGUGGUUACAUUUGAGGAUGUGAGUGACGAGGAGAUAGAAGGGGAUGCGAGACUUGACAGCACCGCGACGUUGCGGCGCGCUUUCCUGGACGCCAACGUCUUCAAGCUGCACGGCAACAUGUCACAGGUGGACAGAGCUGCCGUCUUUCACGCUUUCAAGUUUGGCACUCGCAAGUCCCACAGCGACAAGAGCGUGCUGUUCUGCACGGACGUGGCUGCCCGUGGCCUCGAUAUGCCGAGGAUUGAUUGGAUUGUGCAUUAUGACCCUCCAAUCGACCCGACAAGCUACGUGCAUCGAAUCGGUCGCACGGCGCGUAUCGGCAACAGCGGCGACUCGAUCCUGUUUCUCGCACCGGACGAGCGUGGCUACGCGGCAUACCUGACGCACUUCAUCCACUUGCAGAUGCAGCAGAGCAACAGCAGGGAGGCGGCGGAGAUGUCGGAGCGCAAGUACGAGACAUUUCUCUUCUACCUUACCAAGCUGGAUCCCAACUCGAACCAUAUGUGGAUGCAGAGUACGGCCACGCUCGAGCGUGCAAUCUCACGCCUUGCGAUGCAGCGUGACGCCGAGCGUGGUGUGGACGCCAAGGAGAGCCUUUACCGCGUUGCUCUGUUCGCGUAUCAGUCGUACCUGCGUGCCUACGCGGGCAUGCCAAGGCAAACGAAGUCGCUCUUCUUCUCCACGCUGCACCUUGGCCACGUCGCGCAGAGCUUUGGCAUCGACAAGAGCCCAUCGGAGGUGCAGCGGGAGCUCCAAGCCUACAUCCGCGAAGAUCGCGCACUUGCCCGUGACAACCGAAAGGGCACCGUCACUAACUCACACGACGAGGAGAGAGGAAAAAGGAAGCGCCAGCGUGUGGAGCUGGACCACGAGGAUCGCUACCACAGUAUGCUCACCCAGAAGCAGCGCAAGCUGACGCGCGACUGGGCCGAGAAGAGGCGCAAGGAGAGCCCCAAGAUUCGGCCGCUACAGUUCUCCGAGUUCGACGCGUGAGCAGGCUUAUUUCUUCAACUGGAGGAAUGGCAGGGCAACGCCAGACAAUGGAGAGACUUGCCGUCCUCGCGACUACGCCGAGGGCUUUGUAACUUCGAGUAACACCG
rnacentral:misc_RNA from 1 species